UAGCCUAACGGCUGAACCAGCAACUUGGAGGAAUGUAUAGCAAUAGCUACUUGCAUCAUUAUAAAGGUGAUGCAAGAUCGACUAUGUCGAAUAAAAUUCUAGGUAGAAUUAUGAUAAUGACAUUGUCUGCCUAUGUGUCUUGACCAAAUUACGUGCCAGCAGUCGCGGUAAUACGUAGAAGACUAGUGUUAUUCAUGUUUAAUCGGUUUAAAGGGUACCUAGACGGUAAAUCAAGCCUAAAAAAAAAUAAUUGAAGGGACUAAUUUGCUAGAGUUACUUAUGAGGGGGUAUUAAAGUACUGCUGGUGUAGAGAUGAAAUUCUGUCAUACCUCUUUUCAAUAGAAAAACAAUGGCACAGGUAUAGGCGAAAGCAUCCCCUUAUGUGAUAACUGACGUUGAGGGACGAAGGCUUUGUGUAGCGAACAGGAUUAGAUACCCCAGUAGUCAAAGCAGAAAAUGAUGAAUGUCAUAGAUUAGAUAUAUAAGUUUAUUCUAUAAAUGAAAGUGUAAGCAUUCCACCUCAAGAGUAAUUUGGCAACAUUGGAACUGAAAUCAUUAGACCGUUUCUGAAACCAGUAGUGAAGUAUGUUGUUUAAUUUGAUGAUCCGCAAAAAACCUUACCACAAUUUGAAUAUUUAUAUCUAUUAUUGUUUUUUCUUCUUAUUUUUUAAUUAAAAACAAUAAUUAAGAAGAAAAAUAAGAAAAAGAGGCAAUAAGAUAUAUUUACAAGCGUUGCACGGCUGUCUUCAGUUAAUGUCGCGAGACUUUGGUUAGUUCCAUUAAAUUAACGUAAACCCUUACUUUAUUUUUAUAUAGAGUAGUUCCCCGCUAUAUUGGAUAUGAUAACAGGGACUAAGACAAGUCAUCA
rnacentral:rRNA from 1 species